AUGGCCCGAAAGAGAAAGACGGACGCCGCGCCGCGGUUGGACGAGGCCGACCGCACGCUCUACUCCAGCUUCUGCGGCGCCGCCAAUUCCCUCUCCCAGCUAUACUCCCAGGCCAUGGCCCAGCAGAAGCUCUCCUUCCAGGCUGGCGAGCGGCACGCCCUCGAAAAGCUCCACCAAUGGAUCUUGAGGAAGCAUGAUGAGGAGUCGAGGCUUACUGUUGCGGACAUAAUGUCACACAUCCAGCAUGAGAUUGACUAUGGAGGUACUGAUGCACAUGUAUCCCCAAGGGUACAUCAGCAUCCCAUGAGUGUGAAUCCGUUUACAAGUAUCCAACCCUCAGCUGGGUCGUACGCACAAGCAACAUCCGGGCAUGCUCCCAGACCCAGCCUCAGUGACCAGUCAAAGAAUACAAUAUUCUCAAAUGCAUUAUCAAGCCCGGUCCGCAGGAGCCUCCAGACGUAUCACUUAACCCAAGGUGCUGGUAAUGGAGGACGGAACACUGAAGCAAACUCAGCCGGGCAAAACCGAGAGGCCAACUCUGCAAGCUCCAAUGACACCUCCAUGGACAUGGUUUCAGACAGCGCAGGAAAUGGGUACUACUAA
rnacentral:rRNA from 1 species